rnacentral:rRNA from 1 species
UACAGAGGGUGCGAGCGUUGUUCGGAAUUACUGGGCGUAAAGCGCGCGCAGGCGGCUCUUUAAGUCUACCCGUGAAAUGCCGGAGCUCAACUCCGUGCACGCCGGGGGAUACUGGAGAGCUGGAGACAUGUAGAGGCAAGCGGAAUUCCGGGUGUAGCGGUGGAAUGCGUAGAGAUCCGGAAGAACACCGGUGGCGAAGGCGGUCUGCUGGGCAGUUGCUGACACUGAGGCGCGACAGCGUGGGGAGCAAACAGG